rnacentral:rRNA from 1 species
UACGGAGGGUGCAAACGUUGCUCGGAAUCAUUGGGCGUAAAGCGCACGUAGGCGGUCUUUUAAGUCGGAUGUGAAAGCCCCAGGCUCAACCUGGGAAGUGCAUCGGAAACUGAAAGGCUAGAGGACGGAAGAGGGUCUCGGAAUUCCCGGUGUAGAGGUGAAAUUCGUAGAUAUCGGGAGGAACACCAGUGGCGAAGGCGGAGACCUGGGCCGAUACUGACGCUGAGGUGCGAAAGCGUGGGGAGCAAACAGG